CUUUUUUUUUUUGCCCUUUUUCAAAGUAUUACAUACAUACCCAAACCUGUCCCACUUGCAGUUACAAUUGUAACUGGUCUGUUUGAUGCUAACAUUUGCAGCUCCUUUCGGCAGGAGCUGCAAAUGUUAGCAUCAAAGAAUCAUUAUGUUGCUUGCCAAUUGAUGAGGUAGAAUCAUCUCGUCUAACUUGCUUAAAAGCAAUCUUGAAUGCACCAGAAACCAAGUCAGACACAUUUGACAAGCGCCCCUCUUU
rnacentral:misc_RNA from 1 species